rnacentral:rRNA from 1 species
GCGACCCUAGGUCAGGCGGGAUUACCCGCUGAGUU